rnacentral:lncRNA from 1 species
AAAAAUUCCCCAAAACAGUUUCGUUCCCCCAACACCCUAGAUCUGCGAUUCAGGCUCUUCUGCCUGUAUUCGAGGGAUUCUGAGCAUGUUUUAUUGAUUAGGGAGGGAUGAGGGUUAUCUGGUAUUAAUUUGGUGGGAAAAAGAGGCGGCGACGCCAUUGGGAUUCCAAGGCGACAACUAGGGUUCGUAAAUUCUAAGAGGAUUCGAAGAGUUCUUGGUGUGUUCGAACGUUUCUGGCCAUGGAUUGAGGAUGUAGGAGAUGGAGUGGUGUUGGGGUGUUCAUUUGGUAGGGAUUAGACUCCGGCGCCGCCACAUGAGGAGUUGAGGGUAUGAGGGGGGGGCGGGGCGUCGCUAGGGUUUACAGAGAGUAUGGAUAAUUGGAGAGAAGAGGGAU